AUUGAACGCUGGCGGCAGGUCAAACACAUGGAAGUCGAGCGAGAGGCGGACGGGGGAGUCAUGUAUGGGGACUGCGCGAUAGAGGGGGAUAGCUACUGGAAACGGUGGAUAAUACCGCAUAGUAUCGGAUAACCCAUAGGGGAUUAGCUAGUAGGUGGGGUAGAGGCGCACCUAGGCGACGCUCUCUAGCUGGUCUGAGAGGAUGAUCAGUCACACUUGGACUGGGACACGGCCCAGAUUCCUACGGAGGCAGCAGUGGGGAAUAUUGCACAAUUGGCGAAAGCCUGAGGCAGCCAUGACGCGUGUAUGAAGAAGGCCUUAGGGUUGUAAAGUACUUGCAGCGGGGAGGCGUUACCCAAAGAAGAAGCACCGGCUAACUCCGAGCCAGCAGCCGCGGUAAUAC
rnacentral:rRNA from 1 species